GGUUGCAAUCGCCUAACUAUUAGUUCUGAUAAUUUGGAGGUUAUUGAAACGAUGAAUAAUGGCGGACGGUCAGCGGGAGCGCCGGCGGCAAUUUUUGAUGAUUGCUAUUUUUUGACGUGUGAUUUUUCUACCUCUAGGUUUGAACAUUGUAAUAGGAAAGCCAAUAAGGUUACGCACGAGCUUGCUAGGUUGGCUAGAUUUUCUUCUACCAUUGAUUGAUUUGAGGAGCCUAUGAUUGAGAUUGUACCAUUCCUCACAAACGAUGUAUCUGUUAUUUCGGUUGAAUAA
rnacentral:rRNA from 1 species